GUAGCGCAGCUUGGUAGCGCAACUGGUUUGGGACCAGUGGGUCGGAGGUUCGAAUCCCAUU
rnacentral:tRNA from 11 species